AGCGAACGCUGGCGGCAGGCUUAACACAUGCAAGUCGAACGCAUCCUUCGGGGUGAGUGGCAGACGGGUGAGUAACGCGUGGGAACAUGCCCUUUGGUUCGGAAUAACUCAGGGAAACUUGAGCUAAUACCGGAUAAGCCCUUUUGGGGAAAGAUUUAUCGCCGAAGGAUUGGCCCGCGUCCGAUUAGCUAGUUGGUGAGGUAAUGGCUCACCAAGGCGACGAUCGGUAGCUGGUCUGAGAGGAUGAUCAGCCACACUGGGACUGGUACACGGCCCAGACUCCUACGGGAUGCAGCAGUGGGGAAUGUUGGACAAUGGGGGCAACCCUGAUCCAGCCAUGCCGCGUGAGUGAUGAAGGCCCUAGGGUUGGAAAGCUCUGUCGGCGGGGACGAUAAUGACGGUACCCGCAGAAGAAGCCCCGGCUAACUUCGUGCCAGCCGCCGCGGUAA
rnacentral:rRNA from 1 species